AUCGUUUGCCGCCGCCGUCGUCGUCGCGUCUCCGCUCUCGAUUGAGUAUCAAUUUACGAUUGCUAGAUCAUUUAGUGUCCGAAUCGGGCCGCGGGACGCGGAACGCGAAGUACGUCUACUUGCCGGCCGCAGGGCAUUCGCUACACAGAAGACUUCAUCGCGAACUGGGAAUAUGUUAAUACCGAUCGCUCGUAUGAUCUCGAAGCGCUCUAAGUACGCACCUUCAAGUCGGUAUAAAAAUCCUCACCGAUGCAGGGGUCACUAUCAGUCGAGUGUCGUUAAUCGAUCCACACACAUUGUGCUUCUUCGUCCGCAUCCGAACAAUCAGUUCAGUGAAUCGUCAAAAUGAAAUUCCUACUUAUGACCAUCUGCCUCAUAGUUCUGGCCUUCGCUCUGGUGUCGGCAGUGCCAGCCGUGAACGAUGAGAGCAUCUUCGGAGCGGAUGCUGACGAAACCAUUAACCCACAGGACCCACAAACCCUCCUGUUGAAGAAGCUGUUGCUGAAAAAGAAGCUGCUGCUGCUGGGUUGAGUUCCGUAGCGAACGGUGUAGGAACCGGGAUGAUGUGGCCCUGGUUUCGGUCGAAAGGCUGCCAGGAGCAGUUUCAACCGCCGGUGGUCACCAUCUCGGGUCAAGUUUAGCGACAUAAGAAAUGAUUUUUCUACCUUAACUCUUGAGUUAUUUUUCGGAAAAUGCCUGAUGCCAAGACUAGAAUAAACAAGCUAAAGGUUAGCUGUAUAAUUUUCUACAACUAUCGUAUGCCUGAAAAUGAGUGCAAUGAAUGAUGAUAUUUUUUCCGACAAUUUAUACAACAUUGAAACUGCCAGUCAAAUAGAUCGAAUGUACAAUCUCAAUAAAGUAUAAGAAUUUUAUACACUAGAA